rnacentral:rRNA from 1 species
AGUGAACGCUGGCGGUAGGCCUAACACAUGCAAGUCGAACGGCAGCACAGUAAGAGCUUGCUCUUACGGGUGGCGAGUGGCGGACGGGUGAGGAAUAUAUCGGAAUCUACUCUUUCGUGGGGGAUAACGUAGGGAAACUUACGCUAAUACAGCAUAUGACCUACGGGUGAAAGCAGGGGAUCUUCGGACCUUGCGCGAUUGAAUGAGCCGAUGUCGGCUUAGCUAGUUGGCGGGGGAAAGGCCCACCAAGGCGAGGAACCGUAGCUGGUCUGAGAGGAUGAUCACCGACAUGAGAACUUGGACACGCUCCAGACUCCUACGGGAGGCACCAGUGGGGAAUGUGAGGCAGUGGGCGCGAGCCUGGUCCAGCCAUACCGCGUGUGUGGAGGAGGCCUUCGGGUUGUAAAGCCCGUUUUUGGGUAAAGAAAAGCAGCAGGUUGAUACCCCGCUGUUCUGACGGUACCCAAAGAAUAAGCACCGGCUAACUACGUG